ACGGUAAAAUAGUUUUUACAAACGGCAAUCAGAAUAAGUUGUACAUGUACGACUUGACAAGUGGCAAAGUUAAGACUCUUAUGGUCGCACAAGGUAGGGACAUGAUUCACAUGCCCAUGAAUUACACUGAGAGUCUUGUUUCUAUUGAGGGGAUGGUGAGUGUUGGAGAAGGAGCUGUCAAGAAGAGAGACAGGAGGCAGCUCCACUCGCUGCAACUAAUAGGAAUGCUUCGAAUGCUAUGAUGUCAGACAAUAUGGACUGAGUCUCUCAAAAAAUUGUUGCCGUGUGUUUUUGGCUUUCUGUGAAAGUAAGGAAAGACAAUGACUUGGAGAA